rnacentral:rRNA from 1 species
UACGGGGGGAGCAAGCGUUGUUCGGAUUUACUGGGCGUAAAGGGCGCGUAGGCGGUCAGCACAAGUCAGUUGUGAAAUCUCCGGGCUUAACUCGGAAAGGUCAACUGAUACUGUGCGACUAGAGUGCAGAAGGGGCAACUGGAAUCUCGGUGUAGCGGUGAAAUGCGUAGAUAUCGAGAGGAACACCUGCGGCGAAGGCGGGUUGCUGGGCUGACACUGACGCUGAUGCGCGAAAGCCAGGGAGCGAACGGG